AAGGGAUGGCGAAGAGAAUAUCCU
rnacentral:sRNA from 1 species